rnacentral:lncRNA from 1 species
GCAAUCGCCGGCGACGGGCUCCGGCACUUCGCUCUGUGGGAAUAUCAGUGUGGUGACUGCUUACCCGGGGGAAGUGUUCUCAGGGCACGAUUAGUGAGAACGUGGCCAUGGACGAGAAUUCCAAGUAGUGGCACUUCUGUAGACGUCGCGGCCCUUUUGGGGUUACUACUACCCAGGAAACUCACAUGCGACACGGGCGCCAGCUGAAGUCCAUCUAGACCCCCGCAGACCCAAGGUCACAAGUUGAGAACUCCCUGCCGUAGACAUUCUUCUGCACCUAGUGGUGGAGCAGGUGGAGCUGCACCUUGCACCGCCUAUUUGGAGACGGGUUCUGUACAGAUGAGUGUGCCCUGCUGCGAUCCUGCAAUCUUUGGUGACUAACAAGGACUUACUGUGAAAACAGAUUUAUCUUUUCUUCUCUACCUUUAAGGUUUCUUGCUGUGGAGAAUAGUUAAGGGACGAGGAAUUCUUAUUGUCCCCAUUUUACAGGCAAAGAAACUAAUACUGACCCCAACCUUACCGACCACUUGGAGGUCCCUAAAAACACAUGACCUUUGCGUUUCUCCGCUGUUAGUGGAAUCCUUUCUGUCUGCUCAUGAACUCAUCUUCAAACGCAUUCCAGGCCUUCAAAACUCUUCUGUGAGCGCAAGUCCCUGGUAUGGGCCACUGUUAACUGCCGCUUAUCACCUGGAUUUUCUUAUCUGUGCUUUGCCCCCUGAGGCUGUGAGCUCCUGAAUCUUCACCUUUGUCUGUAGGAGGAAAAGUUGUUUGAGAUGAUAUUUGAAUCCUUCAAUUUAGGCCAAAUUCAGAACAUAGCAGAAGGUUCUGGCUAACAUGCAGAAGCGUAUGACUGGACUCCCACUACUGUUGGUCUGCAAAGUUGAAGGCUACUGUAGGCAAAUGUGUCACCUUUAAUGUAUCUCCUUAGGAGCAGUCUUUCACCUUAUUCAUGCUCCUCGGCACCCACACCAAAAGAUUGAUGAAGCAAAUGGUAGCUAGUCUCUGCUUUACCCCGUCACCCCUGGCCUGAGGACCUUUGAACCAUUUUAAAUGCUCUACCUGCCAGCCUGGCCAUCUAUGCACUGCUUGCUCCAUCUACCCUUCUGACUCAGCUGAAAUACCACCUUCUCAAAGAAGUCUAAGUGACCACCUCAUCUAAAUUGGGUUUCCUACCCACCCCUCCUCUAUCACUUUGCCCAUGGUUGUAUUUCCAUUACAGAACUUCCAUCCAUCAUUCAUUUCCUUCGUUUUGUACUUGUUUAUCAUAUAUCAUCUGUAGAAAAGAACAUUCUGAGAAGACAGACUUUGAGUGUCUUUCUACAGAAUCCUCCAUUCCUAAAACUGCCUGACCUGUAGAUGGUCCUCAACAAAUAUCUAAAACACUUUAAAUAACAAAUAGAUGUCAUGUUUUAACCCUACACUCCACCUUCGGCCAUACAGAAUUUUAGUCCCUGCGUCCAUGCUCUUACCUCCGUGUUUUCGUACACUCUGUACCCUUCUAACUCUCAGAUAUUCUUCAAGACUUCAUUCUGUUACUUGUUACUCUGCAACUCUAAACCCUACUCUUAGUUGAGUUGGCUGCUCUUCCGUGCUCCCAAUCACCUGUAACCUCUCUGUCAUAAUCAUCUCGCUCCAUUCAUUUGACUGUCUCACCCAAAAGACAUGUCCCUUGAUGGCAGAGACUGUUGCUCAUAAAGUGGACAGUGCCUUGUUCAAUUACUGUUUUGGGGUGGCAAGGUCUGUCUGUGCCUGUUUGUGUUCUCUUUCCUUCUCUCUUUUCUCCAUGUUGUACUCAUCUUUCCAUUUCUGUACCCCUUUUAAUCCUUUCCUUAGGUUGUUAUUCAUGCCUAGUGAUUCUCAUGGACAUUCUGAAAUCCAGGUUCUUAGGGCUGAAGACUAUGCCGAUCUUUGAAAUAAUAUGAGUAUCACA